GGCAGUAGGGAAUCUUCCGCAAUGGACGAAAGUCUGACGGAGCAACGCCGCGUGAGUGAUGAAGGUUUUCGGAUCGUAAAGCUCUGUUGUUAGGGAAGAACAAGUGCCGUUCAAAUAGGGCGGCACCUUGACGGUACCUAACCAGAAAGCCACGGCUAACUACGUGCCAGCAGCCGCGGUAAUACGUAGGUGGCAAGCGUUGUCCGGAAUUAUUGGGCGUAAAGGGCUCGCAGGCGGUUUCUUAAGUCUGAUGUGAAAGCCCCCGGCUCAACCGGGGAGGGUCAUUGGAAACUGGGGAACUUGAGUGCAGAAGAGGAGAGUGGAAUUCCACGUGUAGCGGUGAAAUGCGUAGAGAUGUGGAGGAACACCAGUGGCGAAGGCGACUCUCUGGUCUGUAACUGACGCUGAGGAGCGAAAGCGUGGGGAGCGAACAGGAUUAGAUACCCUGGUAGUCCACGCCGUAAACGAUGAGUGCUAAGUGUUAGGGGGUUUCCGCCCCUUAGUGCUGCAGCUAACGCAUUAAGCACUCCGCCUGGGGAGUACGGUCGCAAGACUGAAACUCAAAGGAAUUGACGGGGGCCCGCACAAGCGGUGGAGCAUGUGGUUUAAUUCGAAGCAACGCGAAGAACCUUACCAGGUCUUGACAUCCUCUGACAAUCCUAGAGAUAGGACGUCCCCUUCGGGGGCAGAGUGACAGGUGGUGCAUGGUUGUCGUCAGCUCGUGUCGUGAGAUGUUGGGUUAAGUCCCGCAACGAGCGCAACCCUUGAUCUUAGUUGCCAGCAUUCAGUUGGGCACUCUAAGGUGACUGCCGGUGACAAACCGGAGGAAGGUGGGGAUGACGUCAAAUCAUCAUGCCCCUUAUGACCUGGGCUACACACGUGCUACAAUGGACAGAACAAAGGGCAGCGAAACCGCGAGGUUAAGCCAAUCCCACAAAUCUGUUCUCAGUUCGGAUCGCAGUCUGCAACUCGACUGCGUGAAGCUGGAAUCGCUAGUAAUCGCGGAUCAGCAUGCCGCGGUGAAUACGUUCCCGGGCCUUGUACACACCGCCCGUCACACCACGAGAGUUUGUAACACCCGAAGUCGGUGAGGUAACCUUUAUGAGCCAGCCGCCGAAGGUGACCAG
rnacentral:rRNA from 1 species